GCCCGGGUGGUGGAAUGGCAGACACGGAGGAUUCAAAAUCCUUUGCCCUCACGGGCGUGCGGGUUCAAAUCCCGCUCCGGGCACCA
rnacentral:tRNA from 1 species